rnacentral:rRNA from 1 species
AGAGUGAACGCUGGCGGUAGGCCUAACACAUGCAAGUCGAACGGCAGCACGGUAAGAGCUUGCUCUUAUGGGUGGCGAGUGGCGGACGGGUGAGGAAUACAUCGGAAUCUACCUUUUGGUGGGGGAUAACGUAGGGAAACUUACGCUAAUACCGCAUACGCCCUUCGGGGGAAAGCCGGGGACCAGCAAUGGCCUGGUGCUGAUAGAUGAGCCGAUGUCGGAUUAGCUAGUUGGUGAGGUAAUGGCUCACCAAGGCGACGAUCCGUAGCUGGUCUGAGAGGAUGAUCAGCCACACUGGAACUGAGACACGGUCCAGACUCCGUACGGGAGCAGCAGUGGGGAAUA